UACGUAGGGUGCGAGCGUUAAUCGGAAUUACUGGGCGUAAAGCGUGCGCAGGCGGUUUUGUAAGCCAGAUGUGAAAUCCCCGGGCUCAACCUGGGAAUGGCAUUUGGGACUGCAAGGCUGGAGUACGGCAGAGGAGACUGGAAUUCCUGGUGUAGCGGUGGAAUGCGCAGAUAUCAGGAGGAACACCGAUGGCGAAGGCAGCUGCCUGGCCUAACACUGACGCUGAGGUGCGAAAGCGUGGGGAGCGAACGGG
rnacentral:rRNA from 1 species